UCGACCGGAGAAAAAGCCGAAGAUUUGUGAAGAAUAAAAGUGAAGAACUAAAAAAAAAGAUCAGUUGCUGCUGUUUCAGAAACCUAAUAAUGUGCCGUAUGUCUCUCUAUCUCUAAAGGUAGUGCAAAAGGGAACUUUGAUCACUAACCACAGUAAAUAUAUCUCAUCCUCGCUAAGACCAUGUCAGCUCCUCAGAUGUUGGAAUUUUCUCAGCCGGAUGGGUGAGGUUAAGGAAAGAUCGUGGUUACGGUUAAUCGGGACGUACACGCUGAUUGCAGAUCUGCGCCAGGACGCGAGCUCCGGUCUCCGGGGGAAACUACGACAUGCUACGUCCUGCGCUGGGCUGGAGUACAGGCAGAAGCAGCGGGGCAUUGUUAAAGCACUGAAACCCCCCUUUGAGAGGAAUCGGAGAUGUGGACUGACAAAUGAUGCCGUCCUGUUGAUGGAGGCCUCAGAUCAGAAUAUGGGCCGUUUUGGAGGGCGGUGAUAAUCAGCAUGCUGUAUGUUGGUCUUCAGGUUGGAGGACUCGGUGUCUCUCUCCCGUCAUGUCUGUGUCCGAGCUUGAGUCUUCAGCCCAAGCGAGGCGCUUUGGUCGUGGGAGGGUUUUUUGGGCCGAGGAUAAUCCCCGGUGGAUCUGCUGAUUAGGAGACGGACUGGACUUUCUGCGCUAUGUGAAAAGGAUUCUCCGGUCUUCCAGCCUCUCUCUUCUGCUCGCCUCCCAUUUAAUUUUGUCACCAUCACUGUUCUCCAAUUCGCUCCUCUCCUUCAGUACUCUUCUCUUUUCUUCGUGGCCUCAAUAUAGUUUCUCUGCCACUCCUCGUCGGCUCUCCUCCACUGUUCUUCAUCUCCUCUCAUCCUCCCUCAUUUAUUUUCCCCUUCCCUCUGCCGCCACCUCGCCUCCUACUCGUCUGGCCUCUAGUGUUUCCUCACAGCUUCUCAUCUGCUCUGCCACUAUCCCAUCCUUUCCUUUUCUAUGCUCCAUCCAUCAAAGAAAAGAGAGGACUCCUCGCUUGUGCCCUCUCUGCCUUGCAGCACCUCUCUGCUCUCUCCUCAUCUGCCUUUGUUAUUACUUUAUCUCUGUUGCAUACUUCACAUUGUUCUUCCUCUUUCAUUGUCUCAUCUAACAGCUACAUCCCUCUCCUCUCAAAUCUCCCCCCACUUUUUCGUCACUUGUCUUCCCACAUCUCUCCUCUUCCACCUUACCCUCCCUUCCUUUCUGUUUUCUCGGUUUCUCUGUUCCUCUGUCUUCUUUCUUUGUUCAACUUGCCUUUACCAGAUCAUGAUCAUGCUCUUUUCCCUGCCCGAGCCGCCUUCUUUCCUUUACUAUUACCAAAGAACCCCCCCCUCUGUCUUCCAUUUCCUUCUCCUUCAUUGUUUUUGCUUUGCGUGUUCGUUUGUCUCACAUGCGCUCUCAUUUUUCUCCCACAACUUUCAAAAUCUGCCUUAUCCUUGCUUUUAUGUCUUUUUAGCCUCUCCCCCCACUGCUUUCCUGCAUGUCCUCCCUCUCUCUUAUUAAACAUGUAGGCUUUAGCUUCGACUUUCCUGUCACUUUUUCUAAUCUCUUUAAUUCGCUCUUUGCCUCUCUCUGUCAACUUCCUCUCUCCUUUGCGUUUUCUUGAAAUUCUUUUUGUUCUCUAACAACUCUCUCUCAUUCCUCCUCUCACUGGCUCUCUCCAUACCUCUACUCAUCUCCCCUUCUUUCCGUUUACAAGUUCCUGUGAGACUGCCACUCAACCAAGAAGAAACCAGAGAGCUCAAACCAAGCACAUGAAUGUUAACUAGUAUUUCCUCUUAACGACUCCGGCGUGUGGGACGAGGGGAAGAUCAAACCCAGGUAAAGUUCCUUUUUACAAGCAGACCUAAAGUCUUUGCUGACUAAGAAAAACAGAGAAGCGAAGUUGCUUCCAGGCCAGUGCUCUCUCCAGUGGAUUACAAGCAGGAUGAAAAUGAGACUUAUAUAACGAGCGCACGGCUGAGUCAAUUCAGAGAAUAAUUGGGGUGGAUCUGUAGAUGUUGUGUUUAAUGUUGAAACGGUUUCUAAAUUUGUCGGUGUCGCUAAUUCAGCAGACUGUGACGCUGAGACUCUGAUCGAGCUCCUUGCGUUCAAAUUUCAACUCAGAAAUUCUAUAACCCAUCACCUUACGUUCUGGCUUUAUGUGGCAUGAAAAUAGAAAAAAACCACGUGGAGAAAACAGAUUUAUAACAUUGUUUUAGGCCACUGAUGAGACUGUGAACCUUGUUAAGUUUAAAUCCACUUGGCAGAUAAUUAGUGUUUCUUUUGUAUUGUUAAAUGUCAAGCUUUGAGUAACUAAUC